GUAUUUUCACCUAAUUUAUGAUACUUCCCCUCCUGCUGCUACAUAUUAUGCUACAGUCAUUCCACUUAGGGGUAAUACAUAGUUAAUGUAUCUGAAUGUUAGAACUUAUAUUGCCUGUAAUUUUUCCACAGGUCCACAUUUAGGAUUACCUACUUAAGGAUUAUAAAUUUGUGAUAACUGACAUUUGUGUUAAACUGUGGUUGCUGUCUAGGUGGGUUGAUAUUUGAUUUAGGUUUAAGCUUUGG